rnacentral:tRNA from 1 species
GCCCAGCUAGCUCAGUCAGCAGAGCAUAAGACUCUUAAUCCCAAAGUCAUAGGUUUGUGCCCCAUGUGAGGCA